CUGCAGGAGCCGCCGUCCGCCAACCUGAAGGACUCGGUUCGGGAGCAUCGGGAUGUGAGCAAACCCAAGCACCAGGGAUCCCCUGGAGAGCCUGUGGCUCCAUGGCCGUGCUCAGCACUGCUCCAUGAGUACCCGGGUGAUGCUCAUGUCCUGGCUGCAUCGCACUCAGACCCAUCACUCAGCACCUCAGACAUGCAAGACCUCACACCCUCUAGGGAGGGCCCUUUAAGAAAAUACUGCUUUCACUUUUGGUUCGAGCUGUCCCUUUAGUUCGCUUUCAUUUCCCCCUGUGCUGCAAUGGACAUGCAAAUAUUCCACUUCAAGAAAUGGACAAAUUGGAUAUUCUGGUACCAGAAUCGCUGUUUUGAAUUUCAGGACACGUGGCUGAACUAUUACUGGGACAAAGAUGACAUUGGCAAGAUUAUCCGUGGCAGCAUCAACCUCACUAGUGCCACAGCACAGAGAAUCGACUUGAAGACCCUGUAUUUGUCUAAUGAAAAGGUGACUUACUACCUCAAGUCAGACAGUGCAAAGGACAUGGAGGACUUCAUCAGUAGACUUCUGGAGUUAAAGGUCACUGUGACUGACACGUAGAGGAGCAGAUCCUUGUGCUGAGCAAUGUAUGAAGUGAUUUGUUCAUUGACAAAGUGAAGAUUCUGUUCCAAAGGCUGUUUUCGCUCAUAACCACUGAUUCCUUAAAUCAUGGAGAUAUCCAAAUGUUUGAAAUGGUCUCUUAUUGCAUAGCCAAAACACGAAAUUCACCCAUCUCCUACUGCUUACUUGCACAAUAGAAAUGGGAGGACAUCAGGUGUGCUGGGAAAUGUAGGAUGUGAAAUGCAGGAAAAGGAGUAAAAGUCUUCAGCUUAGAAAAUACAACAUUCUUUACAACUGCAGAUGUGAGCAUUACCUUUGGAGAAGCUGCAUUUAGUAAUUACUGAUAAAUGGGAAUGAAUAUUGGCUUUAGCUCACCCAAUGCAUAGGCAUGGCAAAAUGCAAACUAGUUACUAUUGGAUUUUGAAUGUUUUGUAAUGUCAUUUUCCACCUGCUUUUCUUAACUGACCAAGCUUUUCAUGACUUAAUUUUACAGAUUUACAUAUUUAAUUUAAUUCUAUUUAAUUCCCGAAUUUUUCAACCUUUAACACAUGGAAAUGUCCAGAGAAGAUAGACUCUGAUGUUGAAAGGCUCUUAACCAGCUUUCUUAUUAUAACAGCAUUGCUUUAUAUUCAUUGAGGCUUGCCCAGUCCUUGCUUUGCUUUUUUAAAGGAUAACAAAGAUGAGGAUGUGUAAUGGAUGGGAACCUGACUGAGAGCUGAUUCCCUCUCAUGACUGAGACACAUAACACAGUAUGGUUUUGUCGCAGUGUAUUUGGUGGAGUAUGCAUGUGUAUGGUCAUGGUGCCUGUUUACGGGAAUGAGGCAGGAAAACAGGGGUGCAGCUAUUUUAUGACCUUCCUACUUGGCUGCACCAGGGCACCUGGCCAGUGCUCUUGGCAUGGGCAACACUGAGAUCAUGAGAAGCUGCACGUCCACAUGAGCAAACAAGGACAGAGCUGGCAUAAAGCCUGUUGUGUUUCUAAGGGUAUAAAAGCAGGUGCCUCUUGUAGCCAAAUCCAAGACUGAAACUCCUGGCAUUGGCUGCAAUGGGGCUUCCCAGCUCAAGUGUGGGCCUAGAUGAUGAUUCGGUGGUGACUGGUGAUGUAUUUCUUCUUAAUCUCUGUUCUAUCUAUGCAGUAAUGAUGUGAUACAUUGCUAGUUUUCCUCUGUACUUAUAUGUAUGCAUCUCUGACUUGCUUUAUUGUACUUAUUUACUAUAUACAUUGAGAUAUAUACCUGAUUUGUGACAGUGAGCUCAUUUGCUUUAGUGCACCUGUUUAAUAAACUGUGCAUGUUAUACA
rnacentral:lncRNA from 14 species